ACCUUUUGUUGCUACUGAAAUGUUGAUGAAUGAGGAUAUCUGUUAUCAACUUUACAAUUAUACAUGAAUAAAAACGAUAACUAUGGUGACAAAACAGCACAAUGUUUGGACUGAAUCAUAAUGAAUAAAACAAAAAGUGUAUAUAAGCUAAGUCAACCAGAAGGACUUUGAACACAGUUAUUGAAUUAAUUUCCUUGGAGACUCUAAUAGUAAUUGUUGAGACUUGAAACCAGACAGAAUGAAACUGUGAGAAAGUUUACAUAU